CGCACCUUGCGCCUCUUGGUAUUCCGAGAGGCAUGCCUGUUUGAGUGUCAUUAAAUUCUCAACUUCAAAAGCUUUUGCUUAUUGAAGCUUGGAUGUGGGGGCUUUGCUGGCUCUUCUAGAGUCGGCUCCUCUGAAAUGCAUUAGUGGAAACUUUUUGCAAUCCGCAUUGGUGUGAUAAUUAUCUACGCUUAUGUUGUGGUUGCAGCUCUUUACUGAGUUUAGUAUCCGCUUCAAACCGUCCUAAGUUACUGGACAACUUUGAACCUUUUGACCUCAAAUCAGGUAGGACUACCCGCUGAACUUAA
rnacentral:misc_RNA from 1 species